rnacentral:rRNA from 1 species
GGCGGCGUGCCUAACACAUGCAAGUCGAGCGAGAAAGUCCUUCGGGAUGAGUACAGCGGCGAACGGGUGAGUAACACGUAAGAAUCUACCCUUUAGUGAGGAAUACCCUCGAGAAAUCGAGGUUAAUACUGCAUACGUCCCUUCGGGGAGAAAGAUGGCCUCUUUGCUAUCGCUAAAGGAGGAGCUUGCGCACUAUUAGCUAGUUGGUGGGGUAAAGGCCUACCAAGGCGAUGAUGGUUAGCCGGCCUGAGAGGGUGUUCGGCCACACUGGAACUUAGACACGGUCCAGACUCCUACGGGAGGCAGCAGUGAGGAAUCUUGCACAAUGGGCGAAAGCCUGAUGCAGCGACGCCGCGUGGAGGAUGAAGGUUUUCGGAUUGUAAACUCCUGUUAAGUGGGAAGAAAAGUCUGUUCCUA